rnacentral:rRNA from 1 species
GUGAGGGAAAGGCGAAAAGAACCCCUGUGAGGGGAGUGAAAUAGAUCCUGAAACCGCAUGCAUACAAGCAGUGGGAGCCGACUUGUUCGGUGACUGCGUACCUUUUGUAUAAUGGGUCAGCGACUUAUAUUCAGUAGCAAGGUUAACCGUAUAGGGGAGCCGUAGGGAAACCGAGUCUUAAUAGGGCGUUUAGUUGCUGGGUAUAGACCCGAAACCGGGUGAUCUAUCCAUGAGCAGGUUGAAGGUUAGGUAACACUGGUGAGGGAAAGGCGAAAAGAACCCCUGUGAGGGGAGUGAAAUAGAUCCUGAAACCGCAUGCAUACAAGCAGUGGGAGCCGACUUGUUCGGUGACUGCGU